rnacentral:rRNA from 1 species
CCUGCAUGAAGUUGGAAUUGCUAGUAAUCGCGGAUCAGCAUGCCGCGGUGAAUACGUUCCCGGGGAUUGUACACACCGCCCGUCACACCAUGAGAGUCGGGAACACCCAAAGUCCGUAGUCUAACCGCAAGGAGGACGCGGCCUAAGGUGGUUCGAUAAUUGGGGUGAAGUCGUAACAAGGUAAC